UUCUUGGUGGCUCAGACGGUAAAGCGUCUGCCUGCAGUGCAGGAGACCCGGGUUCGAUUCCUGGGUUGGGAA
rnacentral:tRNA from 1 species